AUAUUGGUGGUUCAGUGGUAGAAUUCUCACCUUUCAUGUAGGAGAUCCAGGUUUGAUUCCUGGCCAGUACA
rnacentral:tRNA from 1 species